AGGGGUAGGAUUAUGGGGGACAGGUGUCAGGGGGAUCCAGUGGUGCAGCGAGCCCGGCCUUUUUUUUUUGACUCCAGAGCAGUCGAGCCAGUCCCUACAGUCCAAUAUGGUGAACUUGAUGCAGGGGAAGGAACUUCUGCUGGAAAUGUGGCCUUGCAGUCUUUCCAUCCACAGUAGUGGAGUGGCUCAGCCAGAUGAGGAGGAGAAAGAAGAGGACGCAGGAUGUCACGUUCCAAGAGAUCUUGCAAGCCUCUGGUGCUUCAGAUAUCGAGCACAAGGCUUGUAAAAUCCCCUAGCAGAAUGAAUGGACAGGGAUAGUAUGAAGAAGAGAAAAGCACAGGAAAAGGAGAGAGAUAUCCAGCAGGAGAUGCAAGCACUUCUAAAGUAGCAAACAAACAUGCUGGAGGCUCUUGUUGACCUUCAGGUUCAACAGACCCACGCUCUCCUCCCUCUGCAGCCCAUAGAGAACUGCAUUCUGGGACAUCCCUGUGCACCCCCACAUUCCACAUGGUGUCUUGGGCUGCUUCAGCUACCCCUACCGCUCCACCCUGCGGGAGAGUACAGGCAAUCACAGCCAUACACUGACCUGUGAGAGAGACGGUUGUUGUAUGUGUUGUGAAAUGGAAAUGACUGUUCUUUUCCCUGUAUUUAUAAAGUUUUGUUCAGUUAUAAAUGUCUGUUUGCAUGAGUUUGGAAUAAAAGUCCAUUUAUGGAAACUUAA